UACGUAGGGUGCGAGCGUUAAUCGGAAUUACUGGGCGUAAAGUGUGCGCAGGCGUCAGAGCAAGUCGAGUGUGAAAGCCCCGGGCUUAACUUGGGAAUUGCGCUCGAAACUACUUUGCUGGAGUGUGGCAGAGGAAGGUGGAAUUCCACGUGUAGCGGUGAAAUGCGUAGAGAUGUGGAGGAACACCAAUGGCGAAGGCAGCCUUCUGGGCCAACACUGACGCUCAUGCACGAAAGCGUGGGGAGCAAACAGG
rnacentral:rRNA from 1 species